ensembl:lncRNA
UGUUCCUUGUGGCGUUUUUAAAUGACCAACGGUUUUAACGGCCGACUAACGUUAGACCCUUCAGAUCGUUUUAUGAGGUAAUGUAUAAUCUCUGGUAAUAUAGCCUUUCAAAUUGCACAUGAAUUCAUUAAAUUAAUUUGUUUUAACGUCCAUUUUGGUGUUAAUUAGGUUUAUUUUCCUUUUCUGUCUUGUUGUUUUAAUUAACGUUACUCAACAGUGAGCAGUAAAUUUAGGCCUACAUAGUCUAAUAGAGUUAAGUCCGUAUAAUGUCUCUGUUAUAAUGUCCUAAAUAGCAACAUAAACGAGGAUUUAUAUAGCAUAAUACAAUACCUCGGCUACACACGCUUAUUAAAUCUCGUUAUCAUUAUGGCUGUUCAUAACUGAUAGACUUCGUUAAACUCCGCGCUGACAGAUAACGUAACGUUACGACCGCUGCGCAAACAAUACAUUCGCUUAAAAAUUAUUACAAAGAGACAGUCAUUUUACUGUCAUGUUAAUGUUAACAUUACUUAAAAAGAAUUGAUUAUAAAUAUCUUUGUAGGAAGAGUUUCGCGUCUCACACACGAGCUGGCGCGAGCACAGAGAGAGAGAGAGAGGGAGACAUACUCACACAGAGAGAGAGAGAGUCGUUAGCGUAGCCUACUGUAUGUACCCAUAAAGAUGAUGACACUGUCAGAUGUAGUCAGCCAUCAAUAGUUUAACAAUCAAUUAUGAAAAUAUAUAGUGAAUGUAAAAAUAUAGGCCAGAAAAUAUUAAGGUAACAUUCAUGGAAUUAUGAUUUAUCUUACUGUAUAGUUCAUUUGCACGUUCAUUCAUACAAAACUGAUAUUUUUUUCUUUUUUCUCCCUUUUCCAUUCUUAGAUAUUAAACCAUAUACCAUAGCCUAUCAAAUUAUUUUUUCAACUUUAGUUUUAAACCAUUAACAUAAUGUUUGUCUUUUCUGUUUUAAGUAUUGAUUGCCAUCUAGUCCUGAUUGCAGAGUUAAGCUCCAGCCCCAAUCCUGUACUGUUGAAGCAGCUGAUCAAGGUCUUCAUGAUCACCACACACUUCAGACAGGUGUGUGGACAGGCUGGAGAUAAACUCUGCAGGAUGCUGGUCCUCCAGAACACCACUGAUUUUGUGUCAGAUGCAGAUAAAGAGUCACCAGGAACAGGUCACUACAUCUUUUGUCAUGUAAGUACACUUCAAUUUAUUUAAAGCUGCAUAUUAAUGCGUCAAGUUAAAGUCAUUAGUUAUUUCUUAAAGGGCUCAUUUUUCCAAAAAUGAAAGGUCUAUCAUCAUUUACUUAUACCUGUAUUACUUACUUACUGUAUUACAAUAAUAAGCUAUUUUUAUCUGUGACUCAGACAGCCUCUUGGGACAUAGUCUCAAACCCAGCGAACACCUUAACAUAUGUUUAUAAAAGUGGUAAUAUUUAGGGGUGUCCCCGACUAAGGAUUUUCUUAGAAUUUUCUAAUCUUGCCGAUAGUUCUUAUACGAUAUAAAUAAUAUACACACUAUAUAUUUAACCAGCUGAAAUGUUUUGAAAUCACUUGUACCCUACCUGAUUGUAAGAAAUCCAGUCUUUCACUCUGCCUGUGUCAACUUGAGUCUUGUUAAAGAUUUAAAUCUCUGCCGGCAAGAUGCUUCUCUGUCGGUCUCGGAUUAUAUUAAG